UACGUAGGGUGCGAGCGUUGUCCGGAAUUAUUGGGCGUAAAGAGCCCGUAGGCGGUGUGUCACGUCGGCCGUGAAAACCUGCAGCUUAACUGUGGGCGUGCGGUCGAUACGGGCAUCACUGGAGUUCGGCAGGGAGGAGACUGGAAUUCCUGGUGUAGCGGUGAAAUGCGCAGAUAUCAGGAGGAAACACCGGUGGCGAAGGCGGGUCUCUGGGCAGUAACUGACGCUGAGGAGCGAAAGCGUGGGGAGCGAACCGG
rnacentral:rRNA from 1 species